UCCUUUCACUCACGCGGCGCAGUCACCCACUCACCCUCGGUGGUGCUCACUGCUCACUGCUCACACAGACACGAGACACCCACUCACCCACAGGCCACAGCUCACUUCCAUCUUCCAUUCUUCCUCCUCCACGCGGCCAUGUCUGAGAGAAUGAGAGCCUGAGAGAGCCAGAGAGCCAGAGAGCGUCGUCCAUUCAUCUCCGUCGUAGGCUCGCAGGCGUAGCAAAGAUCAGCAUCGUCGUGUAGCCAGCAGCAUCGUCCAGUUCGCGUCCUCGUGCAGUCCGGAGUCCACGCCGUCGUCCAGUCAUAAGCCGUCGGAACAAACCCUAAGUCGUGGCAAGAAACCCUAAGCAGAGCAGCACUCCAGUCGCCGAGUCCUCUCCUGCAAAAAGCACCUGAAUAAUGUCUUCUUUGGAGGAAUAAAAAACCGAAAAACCGACCAAACCAAACCGCUGUUGGUUCGGUUCGGUUGUUUAAACAGCAGCCAACCGAAUGGUUGGUCUCAUUGUAGAACCGAUCAGGUCGGUUCGGUUGGUUUUCGGUCCAAAACCGAACCAAACCGAACCGAUUACACCCCUAGAAGCCACCACAGCCCCCAAUCGGCGCAGGCACCGCAGCAACAGUUUUGACCACCGCACCCCACAGCCCCCACCGCGUGGUUGUCAUCGCCGAGCUCGCCUUCUUUGUGUUCGCCGGUGUCGCGUCCUCUGUCGUCGCCUUCGCUCGCCUUCCUCCUCGCCGACCUCGCCUUCUCUGUGUUAACCGAAGAUUGGGCCAAGGAACAAACAUUGAUAUGGCUGGCAGGACCAGACUGAGCUGCUUGACUAUUUCCGGCAACAUAAUGCGGAGGCCACGGGAUCUUCAAUGUUGAUCAUGUUAGAUUGUCUCAGUUUUGACACUUCUCGUGUUCCAGUAGAGUUUUUGGUGAAAACAUUGAUCCCAAAUUGUGAAGAAUUCAUCAAGAGUUUUCGAGCUUUGCUAGAUGGCAAUAAAGGUCCUGAGCAUCCCACCCCUUGAGGCACGCAAGAUUAUUGGAGAGGAGGGUUGGUCUAAAAUACAAGGAUUGAAUACGGAAAUACAUCGUCUUCUUUUAGUUUAAAAACUUGAUGUACUGAUACACUCCAAAUGUCAUUGUGUUAAGCUUUUGAACUCUAAAACUUUGUGUGUCUAUUAUACUUUGAUUUUAUAGUCAAAUUAUGCAGUGGUUUAUGAUAGAUUUUAGAUUUGAUGUGCUUAGCUUAUUCACAGAGAUAUAUCCUGUGAUGCCAAUAUUUCCAUGUUCAAUUAUAAUUUG